rnacentral:hammerhead_ribozyme from 1 species
AUCCAGCUGAUGAGUCCUGAAUAGGACGAAACGCGCGUCCUGGAU